rnacentral:rRNA from 1 species
CCCUUAGAUGCCCUGGGCCGCACGCGCGUUACACUGAUGCAUUCAACGAGCUUAUAACCUUGGCCGAGAGGCCUGGGCAAUCUUGUUAACGUGCAUCGUGAUAGGGAUAGAUUAUUGAAAUUAUUAAUCUUGAACGAGGAAUUCCUAGUAAACGCAGAUCAUCAAUCUGCAUUGAUUACGUCCCUGCCCUUUGUACACACCGCCCGUCGCACCUACCGAUUGGAUGGUCCGGUGAAGCCUCGGGAUUGUGGUUCUUGCCGCUUUAUUGUGGCGUGACCGCGAGAACUUGUCUAAACCUUAUCACCUAGAGGAAGGUGAAGUCGUAACA